UACGUAGGUGGCAAGCGUUGUCCGGAUUUACUGGGCGUAAAGAGCGCGCAGGCGGUCGGAUCAGUCGAAUGUGAAAGCCCCCGGCUCAACUGGGGAGGGUCAUUCGAUACUGUCCGACUCGAAGGCAGGAGAGGGAAGUGGAAUUCCCGGUGUAGUGGUGAAAUGCGUAGAUAUCGGGAGGAACACCAGUGGCGAAGGCGACUUCCUGGCCUGUUCUUGACGCUGAGGCGCGAAAGCUAGGGUAGCAAACGGG
rnacentral:rRNA from 1 species